GUGAGGAAUAUUGGACAAUGGGCGCAAGCCUGAUCCAGCCAUGCCGCGUGAACGAUGAAGGCCUUCGGGUUGUAAAGUUCUUUAGCCGAUGAUUAUAAUGACUGUAGUCGGAAAAUAAGCCCCGGCUAACUUCGUGCCAGCAGCCGCGGUAAUACGAAGGGGGCGAGCGUUAUUCGGAAUCACUGGGCGUAAAGCGUGCGUAGGCGGUCUCGUAAGUUAGGAGUGAAAGCCCAGGGCUCAACCUUGGAAUUGCUCUUAAAACUGCAAGGCUAGAAUCUCGGAGAGGAUAGCGGAAUUUCCAGUGUAGCAGUGAAAUGCGUAGAUAUUGGAAGGAACACCAGUGGCGUAAGCGGCUAUCUGGACGAGUAUUGACGCUGAGGCACGAAAGCGUGGGGAUCAAACAGGAUUAGAUACCCCUGUAGUCC
rnacentral:rRNA from 1 species